UACGAAGGGGGCUAGCGUUGCUCGGAAUCACUGGGCGUAAAGGGUGCGUAGGCGGGUCUUUAAGUCAGGGGUGAAAUCCUCGGAGCUCAACUCCGAACUGCCUUUGAUACUGACGGUAUCUUGAGUUCGGGAGAGGUGAGUGGAACUGCGAGUGUAGAGGUGAAAUUCGUAGAUAUUCGCAAGAACACCAGUGGCGAAGGCG
rnacentral:rRNA from 1 species